GAAGGUAGAUGAUGAAUAAGUUAUUCUCUCACAUGCUGAAUUAACUGUGGACUUCAAAUCUCCGCUUAUUGUCUGAUGCCUUC